UGUUAAGAUUUUUUUAAUUAUAGAAUAUUAAAUUAAAUAUUUUAUAUGAGUUAAUUCUCUAAUAUUAAUCUAUUAAAAUAAUUUAAUAUUAAAUAUAUCUAUAUAUUAAAAUUAUAUUUAAAUUUAAUUAAAUUAAAAAUUAACUAUGUUAAAAUUAGUAUAUACUUUUUAUUUUAUUAAGGAACUCGGCUAAUUAUUAUUCACCUGUUUAUCAAAAACAUAGUCUUAUGUAUUUAUAUAAGGUGAAACCUGCCCACUGAUGUUAAAUUUAAUGGCCGCAGUACCUUGACUGUGCUAAGGUAGCAUAAUAAAUUGACUUUUAAUUGGGGCCUUGAAUGAAUGGAUAAAUGGAUAAUUUCUGUCUCAAUAAAAAUUUUAUAAGUUGCUUAAAAGGUGAAAAUUCCUUUAAAUAAAUUAAAUAGACGAGAAGACCCUAGGAGUUUUUAAUUUUGUUGGGGCGACAGUAUAGCAUUAUAACCUAUAUAUAAAUAUUUUUAUAAAACGAAUAAUUUUAAUAAUAAAUAAACUACCCUAGGGAUAACAGCAUAAUUUAAUUUUAAGUUUGUGACCUCGAUGUUGGACUAGGGACUUUUAAAGCUAACAGUGUUAAUUGACAGUUCUGUUCGA
rnacentral:rRNA from 1 species